UAAAGAAAAAUAUCGAGUGGAUGUCAUUAACCUCUCACGCAAAAGCUAUUUCUGUUUGCUUUCUGAUAACUUGACUUUUAGGAAAUACAUUUGCAUUCUGGGUUUCUGAAAAUGUAAGAGGUUAUGACUCAAAAUUAAAAAUUAAAUUAAACUCAAAUAACACUAAGUAAAUUUAUGUAAAGACAAUGCUGAACAUAAAUAUGCCUUCUCAUUCUGAAACGGAAAGUAACAUUAGACAUAUGCAUACCCAGUCGUGCUUAAAUAUGAAAUAAAUAGUUAAAACUAGGCUGCUGUCAUGUGUACCCAGAGGUACGCAAAUUACGUAAGCUAUUCGAAACGCAGGUUGCGUUAGAGACGUACUGUAGCUCUACCAAUUGAAAUACAUUAAAAGGUCACAUGAUUCUCCACAAACUCUCGUGUUCUGUCACUUGUUUCGAACUGGUUAUACUAAAAGGAAUCCCGUCCAUAAUUACGCCUGAAUUAUUGUAUGCUUUGGCGCAAAUGGGUCAUGGAGAUGAACUAGUUCUUGCAGACGCAAAUUUUCCAACAUCAUCUAUUUGUAAAUGUGGUCCAGUGGAGAUAAGAGCGGACGGUAUGUGUCCUACAAGCGUCUAGACUAUUACUAAAUAAAGCAGGUGUAGGUAUACCAGAACUUCUGAAGGCAAUUCUAAAGCUUUUUCCUCUUGAUACCUAUGAUGAUUCGGCAGCUGUCAUGGACCUUGUGCACAGUGACAAAUUUAAGGGUCUGAAAGUGCCGGUAUGGGACCAGUACUCUGACCUCCUGAAACAAGCAGAAUCAGAUGUAAGCUAUUAUAUACAUAA